UGAGCGCUGAGCUGAAGCCGCUCCUCCUGUUUCCGUGCUGCGGCGCUGCCCGAGACUUUACCGCAGUGAGAUCCGUCAUCCGUCCAUAACACGAACGCUCCGAGGGGGGCUGACUCUCACACCGACAGGCUUUGGUUGUUGACCCUGCUGGGGAAAAAAAACAACAACAACAAAACACAAGCCGAAACGAAAAACAACCCGGAUUCGGGGAAAUAAUAACAAUAAUACUAAUUUUAAGGAAAAUAAAUAAAUAACCGAAGACCAACCGCGCGACAAAAUGGGAAAUGAAGCAAGUUACCCGUUGGAGAUGUGCUCGCACUGUGAGUAUUUAUUUAGGAAUUCACUCAUUCCUGGGAAAAUGUUCGCGCUCUUCUGAAAGAUCACAGUGAAGGAUCUUAUCUAGCUGCUGCUGCUGUUGUUGACGCUGUGGGAAUGUUGUGAAACGAACGAGCGAAGGCACGACGGUGACGAAUCGGCCGACGGUUAAAAGCCGUUACCGUAGAAACAGGCUAGCGCAUGACAUCUGGGAUAGGUGUAAGUUUUACGGCCGGUCCGGGUGAGAGUGGAGUUUUACGAGGAGUUGGUGCCGGGGUGUUAAAUCUGUGUGAGUGACUCGGCUUACGUCGGUGCAGGAUCGGGGAGGUGGUCUCGGGUCUAACGGGUCUCGGGUCAGCUGUGACGCAGCGCACAGCGGUGCUGUAGAUGUAGCUGUGUGUGUGUGAGAGAGAGAGAGAGAGAGAGAGAGAGAGAGCUGAUCCUGGAUCAGGGUGAUGAGCUGAGUGACGGAGGCGUGCUGCUGUAAAUGCCUCCUGACUGCUAAAGGUCAGACAUGAGGGGCAGCUUCGCUUAUUUUUAGUGUGUGUGGGUGUGUUUUAUUGGAUUGCCAUCAUGCGGGUGGUCCCCCUGACAGUGUAAAGUGUGUGUGGACAUGCACACACACACACACACACAUAUAUAUAUAUAUAUUUAUGUGUGUGUGUGUGUAGUUGAAUUGCACAGGUUAGAAAGGGGUCAGGCUCUUUCUCUUUGUCUUUCUCUCUGUCUUCCUCUUUCUCUGUUCUCUCUCUCUCUCUGUCUUCCUCUUUCUCUGUCUCUCUGUCUCUCUUUCUCUGUCUCUCCUCUGUCUUCCUCUUUCUCUGUCUUCCUCUUUCUCUGUCUCUCUCUCUGUCUUCCUCUUUCUCUGUCUCUCUCUCUCUCUGUCUCUCUCUCUCUCUGUCUUCCUCUUUCUCUGUCUCUCUCUCUCUGUCUCUGUCUCUCUCUCU
ensembl:lncRNA